AAUAAGAGCGAGGGAGAGAGCAAGACGCGACCAGAGAGCCACCGGGGCCCGCUCGCGCGCCUCUGAGAGGCUGUCCGCGCGCGCGCGUGUGUGCGUGAGUGUGGAUUUGCCGGGACUGGAGCUGGAAAGUUCAAACUAAACGUGUUGCUCUCGCCGAGUGCCGAGGCCGCGGCGGAGGCUGCCCAACUUCCCCGGGCCAAGUGAGUGGCGUUGCCCAGCGCCUUUGGCGAGGCGGCGGCCGCUCGGCCCUGCGCCCGGCCGCGGCGGCGGCGGCUCCGCUCGCCCCGGGAGGGAGCCCGCGGCCAGGGCUGGACUCUCGCCCCGCCACCUCCACCGACUCUCUCCUCAGCCUCCGCGCCUGGCACCGCAGCAAGACUUGAAUGAAGUGAUCAUGUAAACUAGAGAAAGGAGAUUAAAAAUAACCUCUGGAUAUUCCUCUCAUGUGAUCUUUAUUCUGGAUGAAGCAUUAGGACAGCUAAUAGCCGUGUGUCACUUAAAAAUCCAACUUGAGAACUGUCACCAAAGAUGUCUAGGAACUUUGAAGAAACAUGAAGGGGAUGGAUGAGGAAGACCCAGAGGAAAAUUCCAGAGGUGAUGGGUUCUGGAAGUAAAAAUUGAUAGGGAAGAUGAAGAAAUGCAUACAUAUUCAAGAUCUCGCUAAAGG
rnacentral:lncRNA from 1 species